AUCCCAUGGUGAGGGCAUCUACAUAGUAACUCAUUAAAUCUUUCUGGCACUUCAUCUAGGGACUCAUCAUCUAAUUGCUAGAAAUUGGUUAUCUUAUUCUGCAAGUU
rnacentral:snoRNA from 1 species